rnacentral:rRNA from 1 species
UACGUAGGGGGCAAGCGUUGUCCGGAUUUAUUGGGCGUAAAGAGCGUGUAGGCGGCCUGAAAGGUCAGCUGUGAAAACUCGAGGCUCAACCUCGAGACGUCGGUUGAAACCAUCUGGCUAGAGUCCGGAAGAGGAGUGUGGAAUUCCCGGUGUAGCGGUGAAAUGCGCAGAUAUCGGGAGGAACACCAAUGGCGAAGGCAGCUCGCUGGGACGGUACUGACGCUGAGACGCGAAAGCGUGGGGAGCAAACAGG